GACGAACGCUGGCGGCGUGCUUAACACAUGCAAGUCGAACGAUGAAAGAGGAGCUUGCUCCUCUGGAUUAGUGGCGAACGGGUGAGUAACACGUGAGCAAUCUGCCCCUGACUCCGGAAUAACUACGGGAAACUGUAGCUAAUACCGGAUAUGCGCCGAACAGGCAUCUGUAUCGGUGGGAAAGAAUUUCGGUCAGGGAUGAGCUCGCGGCCUAUCAGCUUGUUGGUGAGGUAACGGCUCACCAAGGCGACGACGGGUAGCCGGCCUGAGAGGGUGACCGGCACCAGGGGGAAGGAGACCCGCCCAAGACCCGUAGGGGGGGAGGAGGGGGGAAAUAUUGAAAAGGGGGCGCAGGCGUGAAGCAGCACCGCCGGGGGGGGAAGGCCGCCCUUGGGGUUGAAACCCUUUUUCACCGGGAAAGAAGGGAAAGGGAGGCCCCCAGAAAAAAAAGCGCCGCCUAACUACG
rnacentral:rRNA from 1 species